UACGAAGGGGGCUAGCGUUGCUCGGAUUGACUGGGCGUAAAGGGCGUGUAGGCGGUCUGUUAAGUCUGAUGUGAAAGCCCGAGGCUUACCCUCGGAAGUGCAUUGGAGACUGGCGGACUGGAGUCCCGGAGAGGAUGGUGGAAUUCCCAGUGUAGAGGUGAAAUUCGUAGAUAUUGGGAAGAACACCGAUGGCGAAGGCAGCCAUCUGGACCGACACUGACGCUGAGGCGCGAAAGCGUGGGGAGCAAACAGG
rnacentral:rRNA from 1 species